AGCGGCGGACGGGUGAGUAACGCGUGGGCAACCUGCCUUACACAGGGGGAUAACAGUUAGAAAUGACUGCUAAUACCGCAUAAGACCGCAGUACCGCAUGGUACAGCGGUAAAAACUCCGGUGGUGUAAGAUGGGCCCGCGUCUGAUUAGGUAGUUGGCGGGGUAACGGCCCACCAAGCCGACGAUCAGUAGCCGACCUGAGAGGGUGACCGGCCACAUUGGGACUGAGACACGGCCCAGACUCCUACGGGAGGCAGCAG
rnacentral:rRNA from 1 species